rnacentral:rRNA from 1 species
GAUGAACGCUGGCGGCGUGCCUAAUACAUGCAAGUCGAACGAACGGACGAGAAGCUUGCUUCUCUGAUGUUAGCGGCGGACGGGUGAGUAACACGUGGAUCACCUACCUAUAAGACUGGGAUAACUUCGGGAAACCGCAGCUAAUACCGGAUAAUAUUUUCAACCGCAUGGUUCAAACGUGAAAGACGGUCUUGCUGUCACUUAUAGAUGGAUACGCGCUACAUUCGCUAGUUGGGAAGGUAAAGGCUUACCAAGGCAACGAUGCAUAGCCGACCUGAAAGGGUGAGCGGCCAAGCUGGAAUUGAGACACGGUCCAGACUCCUACGAGAGGCAGCAGUAGGGAACCUUCCGCAAUGGGCGAAGGCCUGACGUAGCAACGCCGCGUGAGUAAUGAAGGUCUCCGGAUCGUAAAACUCUGAAAGUAGUGAAGAACAAAUGUGUAAGUAACUAGGCACAACUUGACGGUACUUAAUCAGAAAGCCACGGCUAACUACGUG